rnacentral:rRNA from 1 species
ACACACGGAUAACAUACCGAAAGGUAUGCUAAUACGGGAUAAUAUAUUUGAGAGGCAUCUCUUAAAUAUCAAAGGUGAGCCAGUACAGGAUGGACCCGCGUCUGAUUAGCUAGUUGGUAAGGUAACGGCUUACCAAGGCAACGAUCAGUAGCCGACCUGAGAGGGUGAUCGGCCACAUUGGAACUGAGACACGGUCCAAACUCCUACGGGAGGCAGCAGUGGGGAAUAUUGCACAAUGGGCGAAAGCCUGAUGCAGCAACGCCGCGUGAGUGAUGAAGGCCUUCGGGUCGUAAAACUCUGUCCUCAAGGAAGAUAAUGACGGUACUUGAGGAGGAAGCCCCGGCUAACUACGUGCCAGCAGCCGCGGUAAUACGUAGGGGGCUAGCGUUAUCCGGAUUUACUGGGCGUAAAGGGUGCGUAGGCGGUCUUCCAAGUCAGGAGUGAAAGGCUACGGCUCAACCGUAGUAAGCUCUUGAAACUGGGAGACUUGAGUGCAGGAGAGGAGAGUGGAAUUCCUAGUGUAGCGGUGAAAUGCGUAGAUAUUAGGAGGAACACCAGUUGCGAAGGCGGCUCUCUGGACUGUAACUGACGCUGAGGCACGAAAGCGUGGGGAGCAAACAGGAUUAGAUACCCUGGUAGUCCACGCUGUAAACGAUGAGUACUAGGCGUCGGGGGUUACCCCCUUCGGUGCCGCAGCUA